AGAGUUUGAUCAUGGCUCAGGACGAACGCUGGCGGUAUGCCUAACACAUGCAAGUCGAACGAGAUUAUUUUUUUGUUUACAAAGAAAUGAUUGCAGUGGCGGACGGGUGAGGAACACGUAAGAACUUACCUUUUGGCGGGGGAUAACAACGGGAAACUGUUGCUAAUACCCCAUAAUGCUGAGGAGCGAAAGGGAAACUGCCAAAAGAGAGGCUUGCGUCUGAUUAGCUAGUUGGUGGAGGUAAAUGCUCCCCAAGGCGACGAUCAGUAGCUGGUCUGAGAGGAUGAUCAGCCACACUGGGACUGAGACACGGCCCAGACUCCUACGGGAGGCAGCAGUGGGGAAUUUUCCACAAUGGGCGAAAGCCUGAUGGAGCAAUACCGCGUGAAGGAAGAAGGAUCGUGGUCCGUAAACUUCUUUUCUUAACGAAGAAAAUUUGACGGUAGUUAAGGAAUAAGCACCGGCUAACUCCGUGCCAGCAGCCGCGGUAAUACGGGGGGUGCAAGCGUUGUCCGGAAUGAUUGGGCGUAAAGCAUCUGUAGGUGGUUCUUAAAGUCGACUGUUAAAGCCCAGGGCUCAACUUUGGAUAAGCGGUCGAGUACUUAAGGACUUGAGUAUGGUAGGGGUAGAGGGAAUUCCUAGUGGAGCGGUGAAAUGCACAGAGAUUAGGAAGAACACCGAGGGCGAAAGCACUCUACUGGGCCAUGACUGACACUGAGAGAUGAAAGUUGGGGGAGCGAAAAGGAUUAGAUACCCUUGUAGUCCCAACCGUAAACGAUGGAUACUAAGUGCUGACAAAAUCAGUGCUGUAGCUAACGCGUUUAAGUAUCCCGCCUGGGGAGUAUGCUCGCAAGAGUGAAACUCAAAUGAAUUGACGG
rnacentral:rRNA from 1 species